rnacentral:rRNA from 1 species
UACGUAGGGGGCAAGCGUUGUCCGGAAUCAUUGGGCGUAAAGAGCGUGUAGGCGGCCCGAUAAGUCCGCUGUGAAAGUCCAGGGCUCAACCCUGGGAUGCCGGUGGAUACUGUCGGGCUCGAGUCCGGAAGAGGCGAGUGGAAUUCCUGGUGUAGCGGUGGAAUGCGCAGAUAUCAGGAGGAACACCAAUAGCGAAGGCAGCUCGCUGGGACGGUACUGACGCUAAGGCGCGAAAGCGUGGGGAGCAAACAGG